CCUACGGGCCGCAGCAGUGGGGAAUAUUGCACAAUGGGCGCAAGCCUGAUGCAGCCAUGCCGCGUGAGUGAGGAAGGCCUUAGGGUUGUAAAGCUCUUUCACCGGUGAAGAUAAUGACGGUAACCGGAGAAGAAGCUCCGGCUAACUUCGUGCCAGCAGCCGCGGUAAUACGAAGGGGGCUAGCGUUGUUCGGAAUUACUGGGCGUAAAGCGCGCGUAGGCGGAUAGAUAAGUCAGAGGUGAAAUCCCGGGGCUCAACCCCGGAAUUGCCUUUGAUACUGUUUAUCUUGAGUGCAGAAGAGGUAAGUGGAAUUCCGAGUGUAGAGGUGAAAUUCGUAGAUAUUCGGAGGAACACCAGUGGCGAAGGCGGCUUACUGGUCUGCAACUGACGCUGAGGCGCGAAAGCGUGGGGAGCAGACAGGAUUAGAUACCCGUGUAGUC
rnacentral:rRNA from 1 species